CACAAACGUUAUACUAUAUUCAAAUUUCAAAUGCAAUCAGUAUUUCUCUGGUAGUCGUCAUUGUCACAUCACAUAACCAAAACCAUAUAACCAACAGUCGUUAAUUUCAAGAGCCUAACAAUGAGAUUCAAUUCAAUCAACAUUUAUACGGCCUGCCGGCCGUUGUACUCAAUACGCCAUAAACGCCCACCCCUCUAUAACAUCAUGUACUCGUAGCCACACAGCAAAUAAUAUGCCACAACACAAAACUAACGAUUGUCAGCUCAUCUGACAAGUGCAUCUGGCUCUUCAAAAAACAGCAACAAAUACAAUUUAUAAAAAAAGUAAUAUACCUACCAUUUAAAAUUCAUUUGUUUAAUAAAUAAUACUCAAGUGCAAUCACACACAACACAACAGCAUGCACCCUCUACGUGCAUCCUCAGUCCCCACGAUGCGAUGAUAAUUUUUAAUAAACUUGCUAACGAGACUCAAAAAUAAAAAAAAAAAAAUUAUUUUUUUUUCAAAAAAAGUCUAGAAACAUGCAACAAAAAAUUGAAUAAAAACCACACUCUUAAAAAAAUAAAAAAAACAACCAGACCGCUUGUGUUCGUGCGUACGCGUAUUUGCAGUUGGUUGUUCUGUUUCAAACAGAAAUAAAAUAAAUUAAUUAAUUUAUUGUGGUCGAGCCAUAAAUGUGCCCAACAGCAACAUCAACAACAACAACAACAGCAACAUCGGCAGCGUGUAUACAAAAAACCAGCCUAACAGCAAACAGCAAACGCAAAACGCAGAACAACUGCAAUAAAUUCAAUGAUUAUGCUUUUUAUGAUAAUAUGGGAAUCGGGCCUCGUUCCACCGCCGCUGACACGUCCACCCGCCGUCAACCCUCGACUCGACGCACGGUCUAACCUCAACCCUGCCAGCUCAGCGUCAAGUGGCCUACCAUAAGCACACAUCAGAUCUCUAUACGAACAGCAAACAUACAUAAUACAGAACCGGCCCGGCCGGCCACGUUGCAUGGCAGGCCAAGGCAAAGGCAAGGGGAUUGAAUUUGGAUACUUGGCCAAACUACGAGUGGGUGACAUAUAGUCAGUUCCACCAAUCGAGCUGCCAGCCAGUCCUGCGAGUCGUGAGACUCUUAACCCGAAUAUGGAAAUUUUGAAAAUUCCUGUUUUGGACGAUGUGGUGUGGAUAACGUUGGAAGUUUAAGCAAAAAAGAUGAUGUUGAUGAUGACGACUCUGGCUUUUUGAUGUUGGGAAGCCAAUUAAUCAGUUUGACGCCCCCAUCGCUCGUCGCUCGCUAGCUCGCAUCAAGGACACCACCAAAAGGAUAUAACCUCCGAACCGAACAUCAAACACAUACAUAUAUGUAUAUAAUUAUAAAACAUACAACCCAACAUCAGACUAUUAAAAUAUGAUGAUGAUGGUGCUUCGGGGGUUCAAGAGUAGAUGAAAGAGGGUGGUGCGCUUGCAUAACAACAACAACAACAUCUCUUUGUAUAGAACGCGCGUGUGAAAUUUCAGUUAAAAGUUAAUCAUGUAGAUGCUCAAGUUAAUUUUCGUCCUUUGUGCUUUAUACUGAUGCCAAUACGGGUUAUCGCCAAAAAUUUUGAUUAACUUCCAAAGUGGAAAAAGAGGGUAGAUAUAAACAAAUGUUUUCUAUAUCCUUAUUGAUUUAUUGACACUU